AUCAAUAUAUCAAACUCUGCAACUUUUGCAGAUAAAAAGGUUUACCUUAUAUUCUUCUUUGUAUAAAGGCAUUGGAUAUGCAUACCCUUACAUAUGUAUCCUUAUUUCACAUGGUGCAACAAAAUAAAUUAAAUAUUUUAUAGUUAAUAUUAUUGUACAAGCCCAAUUUUUAAAAACCCGGGCCCAAUUACAAUACAAAACCCGAAUAGUCCAACAACCCAAAUUUAGCCCCUAACAGACCUAACCCAGCAAAACCAAGCCCAAAUUUACUCAUUUACACCCAAACCCGAAGCCCAAUAGUCAGGCCCAAUUUCCCUAAAAAAUAUCUAACUAGGGUUUCAUUUUCUGAAACCCUAGAUGCCGCCAGCUACCCACCCUGCCUCUGACCAGCGCCGCAAGCCACCAAUUGCUGCGCCGCACCUACUGCCGCCUGCUUCAAACGCUUGCAAAGAGGAAAGAAGGGACAAUCAUAGCAAUGGCAAUGAUGACACAAUCGGUUAUAAAAACCCAACAAUAUGUAAUUUCAAGGGGUUUUUUUUUAACAACUUCUGUAACACAAAAAAAAAACAGUUAAUAAAAGAAACAAGCAGAUUAAAAGCAAGGUUGAUUACAGUGCAUCUACUCUUCUUAUUUUCUGUUUUGCGUUCCUUGUUAUUUUAUUUUAUUUUAUUUUAUUUUAUUUUUCCUUUACAAAUCUUUAAACAAAAUAAAAGGGGAAACGGAGAAAGAAACCUUACCUGAAUCGCUCCGCCAGUGUCGUCACCGGAGUCCUCCUUUGGGUCACCAAAAUCGGGCGAGGAAGGCAACGAUUUGUUCUUUCACGACCCCGAAAGCAUGAAGACUUGGUCUUCUGUCGAUCCACGAAGCAGGGCUUUAAAAAACCUGAUGCUUGGGCUUCCGACCACCGCUCACGGCGGGAUCGAUGGUGGCCCUUUGGCCGAACCGAGACCAAAAAGGGGGUGGCUGAGUCCUUUCUUUUUCUUUUUUUGUUUCUCUGAAUUUUUUUGUUAAAGAGGCUGAAAGAAUGAAAUUUUAGAAGAAAAAAUUAUUUUAAGUGGACAGAACGAAACGACGUCAUUUUGUCUGAGUGUUUUAACGCUAAAACGGCGCCGUUUUACACAACCCGCGAUCGACCCGACCCAUUACCAGGAGGAUCCGUGUGUUUCAAUGGAAGGGCUAAUUGCACUUUUAACCCUUCCACUUUUUGAUGAUUUCGCAAUCAGUUUUUUUAUAUUUUUAAAUUUACCCCGUUAGUUUAUUUUGGAUUUUAAUUUAGCCCUCCAUGAAACUACGUCGUUUUAAAGGAGAAGGACAAAUUGCCUUUUUAGUCCCUCCAUGUCUCGCGCGUGUUCAGGAUAGUCCAUCUCCUUUAAUUUAUUUGCGAUUUGUCCCCAAAUGUUGUUUUUUGUGUUCAAUUUAGCCUUCUGUUUAUAUCUUGGUUAUUUUAUUAUUAAAACUAAUAAGUUAUUAUUAUGAUUAUUAUUAUUAUUAUUAUUAUUAUUAUUAUUAUUAUUAUUAUUAUUAUUAUUAUCUAUGUCUUGUUAAUUUCAAAUUUUACUAUAUAUAUAUAUAUAUGUGCGCAUACAUACAUAUUUAUAAUAUAUAUACGUACAUAACCUUUUUUAUUUUAUAUAGAUAUAAAUACUUAUAUGAUAUAUAUACUUUACACUUCAUAUAUAUGUACGCAUAUACAUAUAUUUCUCAAUUUAUACCUAUAUAUACAUACUUAUGUUUUUAUGCUUUAUAAUUUAUAUAUAUAUACAUAGAUAUGCAUAUUUGUUUUUUUAUAUAUGUAUAUACGUUCAUAUAAUUUAUAAUUUAUAAUUUAAAUAUAUAGAUGCACAUACAUAAAUAUUUCAUUUUUAUAAUUCGUAUUGUUAUCGUUGUUUUAUUUGAUAUUUAUUUAUUCAUUUAUUGAAGUGUUCAUUAUUUUUAUGAAAUGCUUUAGAUUUUUUAUUCAUUUAUUAUUUCAUGUAUUUUUGAUUUGUUUAUUAUGUAUUUUAUUUGUUGCUCAUUUUAGUUGUGCUUGUAUUAUUUUACUUACAUUAUCAUCAUUAUUCUAUUACACCCAUUUUUUUAUUUAGAUUUCAAAAAACAAAGAAAUUUUAAAAAUAAGUAAUAUUCGGUAUUUUAGAUCUUCGAGAGAAUCGAGCCCUAAUGCAUUGGGUUCCGAUUUUCUUUGUUGGAUCUAAAUAAUCGAGAUUACUUUUUUUAAAAUGAAUCAAAGCUCAUUAUCGAGAAUUCAAUAUGUCGUGUCCUAACGCAUUGGAUGUGACACGUUGCUUUUCUCGGGAUGAGGAUUUUCUUAAAAAUAACAAAGGCAAUAUUCAAUGUUUGGAAAGUUGAGACAUUGUGCCCUAACAUAUUGGGCUGCAAUUUUCUCAUCUGACUUGGACAAUUGAAUACCCCUUUUAAAUUUUAUCAUAUGAGUUUUUUUUUAGACAAGCAACUUUUUAUAUAAGUCUCUUAAAACAAAGGAUCGUAUUUUAAAUCUCUUUAAAAUUUUCAAUUCUCGACAUUAAGACAUUAAGUAAUCAACUAGGUACCAAUUUUGGGCGUAUCGAGGGUGCUAAUCCUUCCUCGUACGUAACCGACCCUUGAACCCAUUUUUCUAAAUUUCGUGGACCAAACUUAUUGUUUUAAUAAAAUCAAACCGUUUAUUAAAAACAACCACUUUUCGAGGUGAUCCAAUCACACCUCAUAAAAAAGGAUUGGUGGCGACUCCCGUUUUUUUCGUUUUCGUCAAAACCCAAAUCGACCCCGUUUUCAUCCAAAAAAUGGUGUCAACAGCUUGGCGACUCCGCUGGGGACUUUUUUUUUCAAAACAGUGAGUCAAGCCACGAGUUGAUUACUUUUUGACUUUUUGUCAAAAAUUGAAAAUUUGGUUUAAAUUUACGAUCCUUUCAUUGCAUUUCAUUCUUCAUUAUAAUGUUCAUCAUUGUGGUUUAUAAUUGCUCUAUUUGUUUAAAUUUUGGUAUCUUUUGCAUUGCAUUACAUGACCGUUGGUCACACCCUUUAAGUGGGAGUGAGAAGCUAGUCCUUCGUGAGGUUUUCACCUCCGUACAGGAUAGUGGAUCACUUUCGGGAUACAUCCGUACCUAUGUCUUCGUGAGAUUUUCAUCUCCGUGCAGCCAUAGGGAAAUGUAUUCCCCUGAACCGAACUCGGUCUGUAUGAGCCUAUAAUGGGUGAAGAUCGAGGAAUCUACUGGUUCAGGUACCUUAUCUCUAGAGCCAAACCGCAUAUAGAAGACCUUAGGAACCCACCCUAGGUAGAACCACUUCGAACCCCUGGUAGACACCUAAAUAGGUGCUUUAUUAUUUAUUGCUUGUAUUUGAUUUUUAUACUAACUUAUUAUGUUUUGUUUGAUUGCAUGGCAUACAUGGCAUUUCAUUAUAAAAGGCGUUGAUUCAUAUUCGGUUACUAGAUAGAAAGCUAAUCAUGGAAAGUGAAUUUCUUGAUAAAGUGGAAGAUAAUGCGGUUGUCCGAAUAUGGUCAGAAAAAACGUAACUCGAGAAAGGAGAUAGCUUGAUGGAAGGGUACACGUCAGAGUUAUCAGACUUCACUUAUAUCAAUGUAACUCAGAAUAACUUCCAGGAGUUGAAAGAAAUAUGGGCCUAGUGGGACGAUGAAGUCAAGUAAUUGUUUUACUCUAAUUAUGGUGACUUGCCUUAUUUACUUGAUAUUAAAGUGGACGAGCAUUUGUUUCGAGCUCUGGCCCAAUUUUGGAAUCCCGCUUAUAGAUGCUUUACUUUUGGAGAGAUAGAUUUGGUGCCUACCAUAGAGGAAUAUACAGCCUUACUGCGUUGCCCAAGGUUUCAGGCAGAUAAGGUCUAUUCUAAAGCCGUCAAUGUCUCGACUUUUGUGAAGAAGCUAGUGAACAUCUUGGGAAUGAGUGAGUAAUGGGUCUCAGCGCAGGUCAAACAAAAAGGGGAAAACAAGUGUAUUCCCUGGAGAAGUCUGUGUGAUUUGAUUUUAGCUCACCCUGAUACGAAGAAAAAAGUCGAUGUUUUUGCUUUGAGUAUUUAUGGGCUGAUGAUUUUCCCUAGAGCGUUGGGGUAUAUAGACGAAGCAGUUACUGAUUUGUUUGAUCGACUGGACAAGAAGGUCACACCCGUUCCAGCAAUUUUGGCCGAGACAUUUAGAUCUUUAAGUGUGUGCCGAAGCGUGGGGGAGGGAAGAUUCAUUAGAUGUGCACAGCUCUUGUUAGUAUGGUUCCACAGUCACUUCUGGAAAGUGGAUAAAGUUUCUUACCGAGUAUUCUCCAAGAAUUAUUCUCCAUUGAAAGAAUUAGCAGCCAUGCCGAGACAUGACAACAUUACCGUGAAAAGAUGGAUAGUGAUGCUUCAAAAUCUCAAAGAUGAAGAUGUUGAAUGGAAAGCUCAUUGGAUGGUGCCUGAUGAGAUCUUGUAUCGAUGUGGGAAUUUCGACUGGGUCCCUUUACUUGGGAUUUGGAGAGCUGUUGGCUAUGCGCAAUUGAUGGUACUGAAACAAUAUGGGUCAAGAUAGUUCGUACCUACCACCUAAGGACUAGCUCAGUGCGAGUUUUCGUAUAAAGAUGAUGGUUAGAAGAAGAAGAUUCAGGAGAUGACCAAUGCUUGGAGGCAAACUCAUCGGAUGAAACGAUUUACUGUGAGAGCAAUGACGACCCCCGAGUAUCAUGGAUGGCGAAGUAAGAGGAUUAAUGAUAACAUCCCCGGGCCAAGAGAAGAUUGCAUUCGAUCCAUAGAGGAGCAUUUGCAAGUAGUUCCAUCAGAAUUAGAGAUCAUCAAACAGGACUUUAAAAAACGAAGUUUGGAAUUGGAAAAGAAGAUAGAGCAGCUAGAAGAGGAAAAGAUACGUUUAGGACUAGAUGUCGAUAUCCACAAGUUGGAAGCUGAAAAGUUUAGGAAAGGGAAGAACAAGGCUGAAGAGGAUUUAGAUAGUCUAAAAACAGAUUAUAAGAGGCUGUGUUUGUCACUGAGAACUGCGGGUUUAGGUAAAACAUCAGAGCAAUGGCGACAGGAGAUCAAGGAAGAAAAGGCCAAAGUUGUUCAGUGGGAAAAGAAAUUUCAAGAUGCCCAUGCUCGAGAAAGUGCUUUGGAGGAAAAUUUGUUAGAAUGCCGAAAUGAAGAAGCAAGAUUAAAAGCCCAUAUAGCUGAGUUGGAAAGGUCGCUUCAUUUGUGCCGUAGUCGUAAUUCUAUGAUCGAGCUGAGAGCAAGUUUGAGCAAGAUUGAAGAAUUGAAAGAAAAGAUAGAAGAACUUGAAGAUGCAUUGUGAAAUUCUGAGUUACGAGUAGAACUUCUUGAAAGACGUAAUGAACAGUACCAAGAGCAGCUCCAUCAUCUUCAAAUUCAGAUUAGAGAUAGAGAUUGCGUUAUGGGCGAAGCUGCGACUCAAGUGUGGGAAGUGGCUGACCAUCUGCAAACCUUAGCGGUUCAGGCUGAUAUAAUGAGUUUGAAAUAUGAGUCAGAGUCAAGUCGGGGUCGAGAGUUAGCUUGGCUCCUUAAGAGGGUUAAGACUUUGAGCAUAAAGACAAAGCCGUAUAUGUAAUCCGCUUUAUGUAAAGAAAUUUGUUUUCUAGUCAAGUUCUUCUAAUGAAAUUGAAUUAGAAUCAAUGCCUUUCCUUUGCAUUCAUUCAUCUGCAUUGCAUUUUUAUCAUAUGCAUUAAAGUUUCAAAAUAAUAAUAAUAAUAAUAAUAAUAAAGAGCUCUAAUUAAUGACAGUUACCCUGGAAAUCAACGAAGAUCUGUCAACUAGAUAUCAUUACGGUAUUCGCCGGAAAACCAAAGAAAUGGAUCAAAGACUAGAGAAAUUAGAGAAAUUGCAAGAACAGAUGCAAGUUCAGAUGCAAGAAAAACUAGCCAAACUGCAGAAAUAUAUGGAAGCAUCCCAAAGAGAAUUAUUGAAUCAAUUAAAACAGUUAACGGCUGGGGGGCACGAUAAGGGGAAGAGCCCCGUGGUAAAUUCUGGGGAUGAUCACGAAGACCUUGCCUACCCUCCAGGUUUCACCCCAACUAAUGUCCAUACACAACCAGGGGUGUACCCACAGAGGGUACCUGUCACCAUUAGAUCCCAAUACCAAGUUGGUGCCCCAGCGUCAAUGAACUUCCCAACAGGUUCGGGUUCUAAUCCCGGGGAUAAUCCUAUUAAUCCCGUGGUUCUGGAUCUCGACGACGCAGCAGAAAUAGAGAAGACAAGAGUAGACCUACCAAAACAAUUAGAAGAUCGUUGUAAAUGGUUAGAAGAGAAGUUUCAAGCCAUGGAAAAUGUCGAUUAUCGAGGAAUGAACGCUAAAGAUUUGAGCCUGGUACUUGAUCUGGUACUCCUUCCUAAAUUUAAAAUGCCGGAGUUUGAGAAGUACAACGGGACUAGUUGCCCCGAAGCCCAUAUCACUAUGUUCUGUAGGAGAAUGACCGGAUACAUUAACAAUGACCCAUUGUUGAUUCAUUACUUCCAGGACAGUUUGAUUGGGUCAGCGGCUAGAUGGUACAACCAAUUAAGUCGGGCCAACAUUCAUUCAUGGAAAGAUUUGGCGCAAGCCUUUAUGAAGCAGUAUAGACACGUGAUGGAUAUAGCGCCCAAUCGAAUUGUAUUGCAAAACAUGGAAAAGAAGCCUAAUGAGAGUUUCCGGUAAUAUGCUCAGAGAUGGAGGGAAGUGGCUGCACAAGUUCAACCACCACUUUUAGAGAAAGAGAUAACUAUGCUUUUUAUCAAUACUCUAAAGGCUCCAUUUCUCGGCCACAUGUUAGGCAGUGCCACUAAAAGUUUUUCAGACAUAGUGAUGUCUGGAGAAAUGAUAGAGAAUGCCAUAAGAUGCGGCAAGAUAGAAGCAGGAGAAAGUACUAAAAGGUCGGCUCCAAGGAAGAAGGAGCACGAGAUAAACAAUAUAAGCAUGUUUAACAAUGACCAUUCUAAAACAAUCACGGUGGGACAAGCCAGAGCAGUAACCGCUAAUCGGUAAGGUUCUUCGAAAUAGGAAUCUAAUCUAAGGCCAAAUGUAGAGAAACUUCAAUUCACACCCAUCCCAGUGACGUAUAGGGAAUUGUACCAGAACUUAUUCGAUGCACAUGUGGUAUCUCCAUAUUACCUGAAACCAAUGCAACCCCCAUACCCUAAGUGGUAUGACGCAAAUGCCCAAUGCGAGUAUCACGCGGGGACCAAGGGACAUUCGAUUGAAAACUGCACUGCAUUCAAGAAGUUAGUUGAAAAACUUAUCAAUUUAGGGAUCGUAAAGAUUGGUGACUCAUCAGGACCAAAUGUAGCAGAGAAUCCGUUGCCCAAUCAUGACAAUAAAGGGCUGAAUGCGAUAAUUGAGUAUGGAGGAAGGAGAGUCAAAGCUAACAUAACAGAGAUAAAGACCCCCUUGAAUGGGUUUGGAAACAAAUGAUGAAAAGAGGUCUCAUCUAGUAAGGUUCAAUAGAAAGGCCUGAAUGAGCAAGGAAGUUUUGUGUGUUCCAUGCAGAAGAAAGCCAUGACAUCCAAGAAUGCACCGAGUUCAGAAUCAUAGUGCAAAACUUAAUGGAUAACAAAGAGUUGGAGUUUUAUGAAGAGAUUAAGGGAUUAGAAGAAGGAGAGGUUUAUGCUGCAGAAGAAGGAUCUACGGGGAAAGCCCAAAAGGAUAAUCACCCGGUGGUGAUUAUUGCAAAACCAAUGAGCAGAGAAUCUGGAAUACAAAUAGCACCAAAGGUCAUAAUUCAAAAAACUGUAUCCUUUCCCUACAAGGAUAGCAAACAGGUUCCUUGGAAUUACGACUGCAAUGUAACAAUCCCAGGAGAAGAGAGCUUGGUAACUACUUCAGGAGAAGAUGAAGGAUUCUAUACACGAAGUGGAAAACGUUAUGAUCCGGCAAACGCAAGAGUGGAAUCCGGAAAAGGAAAAGCCUUAGCGGUUGAAUUGGGAAAAGCAAAAGCAGACAAAAUUGAGACGCGUGUCAAUCAGCCGGUAACUGAAAAUGAGGCUAAAGAAUUUCUAAAAUUCUUAAAACAUAGCGAGUACAGCGUGGUAAAUUAAUUACAUAAGCAACCGGCUCGUAUCUCGGUGCUUGAAUUGCUUCUAACUUCAGAGGUACAUCGUAAUGCGUUGAUUAAGGUGCUAAAUGAAACUUAUGUCGCUAGCGAUAUCUCAGUGAAUAAGUUGGACCGUUUGGUUAACAAUAUCAGUGCCGACAAUUUCAUUUUCUUUAAUGAUGAUGAAAUACCGCCGGGGGGAAGAGGAGCCACCAAAGCAUUACAUAUCACUACUCGCUGCGGGGAGUAUACGUUAGCGGAAGUGCUAAUUGAUAAUGGAUCAGCCUUGAAUGUUUUACCCCUAUCUACCUUAAAUAGGUUACCGGUGGAUAGUUCCCACAUGAAAUCAUGCUAGAAUAUAGUGAGAGCAUUUGAUGGUACCGAAAGGAAGGUGAUGGGAAGAAUAGAAAUACCCCUCUUGAUUGGCCCGAAUACAUACGAAGUGGAUUUCUUAGUGAUGGACAUCAAGCCUUCGUAUAAUUACUUACUGGGGAGACCAUGGAUUCAUUCAGCAGGGGCGGUGCCUUUAUCAUUGCACCAGAAGUUGAAAUUAGUGACAGAAGGCCGGUUAAUUACGAUCGACACUGAGGAAGACAUCAUUGCAUCGGUAACCAGUGACGCACCAUAUUUGGGAACAGAUGAUGAGGCGAUCGAAUGUUCCUUUCGAUCCUUAGAAUUCGUAAAUGCGACCUCUGUUAUUGAGGGAAAGAAGAUCCCAAUGCCCAGUGUGUCUAGAGUCACGAAGAUGGGAUUACAAAUGACAAUUGGGAAAGGAGCUGUGCCUGGAAGAGGACUGGGAAUAUGCCUUCAAGGAAGAAUAGAGGCACCAGUGGUGAAGGAAAAAUAGGACCGCUUUGGUUUAGGAUUUAAACCAAAUGCUAAGCAAAGAAGGAAAGAGUUAGAGAAAAGACAAGAGAGGAGGAAUGCGCGUUUGAACGGAGAAGAAGUUGAUUGGGAACCUAUGGCUUUCCCCCACAUAUCUAGGACCUUCGUAUCAGGAGGAACCAUGUAUUCUGGACUGAGGACUCCGAGAAGGAAGACCACAGAGGAAAUGUUAGGAAACAUGAACAUCAAUGCCAUAUUUGAAGAGGAAUCUGAAGAAGGAAGUACCUCAGGCAUCGAUCUCUUUAAACCUGGGAUUGUUUUAAACAAUUGGACUGCAGAAGAAAUGCCUGAAGUUUUAAGAGCUUUUCCAGAGUAAUAUUCAAAACAUACUAAUUGUUCUAAGCCUGGAGAAAAUGAAAACCUUUUGUGAACUGAAAUAGGCUUAUAUUUGAACAUUGUGACUUCAAUGAAAUAUAUCUUCGCAUUUUCUUUUUGAGUAUAUAUUCUUUUAAAAUUCUUUUCAUUCUUUCGUAUGAAUAGUCAUCUUGAAUGCUUAUAUUCCAAAUCAUUCUUUCAUUCAUGGCCAUACUAAAUAAGAAUCCUUAAAUUCAUACAUUCCCUCUACAUUCUUUGGUACUUAUAAUAGGUUCCAAGAUAUCGAUGACAUGAGUGACUCUACUAUGAACUUAGAGAACCCUUUUGAACGAGAUAUGUGUUUAGAGGAAUCUCAAGAUUUUGAAGAUAAACAUAGAUAUCAACCUGUCUCCGAACUUGUUGAGGAUGGUAGAGCAGGAAGGGAAACAAAUCUUACCUCACGAAGAGACGAUAGAGACGGUGAUCCUGGAAGAAGGAAAUGUGGUGAAGAUUGGCACAUGUAUAGCUGAAGAAGUAAAACAAGACCUCAUUGAAUUGCUUCGAGAGUUCAAAGAUGUCUUCACAUGGUCGUAUCAGGACAUGCCUGGCUUAAAUACGGAUAUUGUAGUUCACCAUCUUCCUAUAAAAGAAUAUUACAAGCCGGUUCAGCAAAAAUUACGAAGAAUGAGGCCUGAUGUUGUAUUGAAAAUAAAGGAGGAGGUGCAAAAGCAAUUCGAUGCUGGAUUCCUGCAAGUGGUCAAAUAUUCUGAGUGGGUAGUCAAUAUUGUACCUGUCCCUAAGAAAGAUGGGAAGGUACGAAUGUGUGUAGAUUAUAGAGAUUUAAAUAAGGCUAGCCUAAAAGAUAACUUUCCCUUGCCGCAUAUCGACGCCUUGGUAGACAACACGGCAGGGCAUUCAUUAUUGUCUUUUAUGGAUGGUUUCUCUGGAUAUAACCAAAUUAAGAUGCACCCCGAAGAUAUGAAGAAAACUACAUUCAUAACCUUAUGGGGGACUUUUUGUUAUAAAGUGAUGCCAUUUGGGUUGAAAAAUGCAGGGGCAACGUAUCAGAGGGUCAUGGUAACACUGUUCCAUGAUAUGAUGCACAAGGAGUUAGAAGUCUAUGUUGAUGACAUGAUUGCAAAAUCUAAAACAGAAAAGGAACAUGUGCAGGUCCUUAAAAAAAUAUUUAUGAGGUUGAGAAAAUUUCAGCUAAAACUAAAUCCAACAAAAUGCACAUUUAGGGUUAGAUCAGGAAAAUUGCUUGGGUUCGUGGUCAGUGAGAGAGGAAUUGAGAUUGACUCUGACAAAGUAAGAGCAAUACAAGAAUUACCCCCACCGCGUACUCAAAAGGAGGUUCGAGGUUUUCUAGGAAGGCUGAACUAUAUCGCUCGGUUCAUCUCACAGCUAACCGAGAAAUGCGACCCUAUAUUUUACCUCCUCAAGAAACAUAAUCCAGGUGUAUGGGAUGAGGAAUGUCAAAAAACUUUUGAAAAAGUCAAACAUUACUUAUCCAACGCCCUAGUGCUGAUACCACCCUGCCCAGACAAACCGCUCAUACUAUAUUUGGUAGUAUUUGAAAAUUCCAUGGGAUGCGUGCUUGGUCAACAUGAUGAAUCAGGACGAAAGGAAAGAGCAAUCUACUAUCUCAGUAAGAAGUUCACCGAAUUCGAAGCAAGAUAUUCGCCAAUUGAGAAAUUAUGUUGUGUCUUAAUCUGGACAACUCGGAGACUGUGACAGUACAUGUUGUACGAUACGACCUGGUUAAUCUCCAAAUUGGACCCUCUGAAGUACUUGAUGGAGUCAACCGCUCUGAAUGGAAGAAUGGCCCGAUGGCAAAUUCUUCUAUCUGAAUUUGACAUAGUUUAUGUGAACCAGAAGGCGGUCAAAGGGAGCGCAAUAGCGGAAUUCCUAGCAAGUAAAGCUCUGGAAGAUUAUGAGCCAUUGAACUUCGAUUUCCCAAAUGAGGAUUUGAUGUAUGUUGCAACUGUAGAAAGAGAUUUCCAAGAAGGUGGUCCUUGGAAGUUGAGUUUUGGCGGAGCUUCAAAUGCUAUAGGCAACGGAAUUGGGGCAGUACUCGUAUCUCCUAGUGGAGAUUAUUAUCCUUUCACUAGCAAAUUGCACUUUGAUUGCACAAAUAACAUGGCUGAGUAUGAAGCUUGCGUUAUGGGCAUCCAGGCAGCGAUAGAGCGGAAAAUUAAAGUGCUAGAGGUAUACGGGGACUCUGCAUUAGUAAUUUACCAGCUCAAAAGGGAAUGGGAAACAAGAGACCCGAAGUUAGUCCACUAUCGAAAAUUGGUUCUAAAAUUGAUUGAGGAAUUCGAUAGUGUUACCUUUAGCUAUCUCCCACGAGAUGAGAACCAAAUGGCAGAUGCUUUGGCCACUUUAGCCUCCAUGUUUAAAGUGAACAAAUUAGAGGAUAUGAAGCCUAUCCAGAUCAGCAUCUAUGAGGCUGCAGCCCAUUGUUGCAACAUUGACAAUGAAGAGGAAAAGGAUGAUCACCCUUGGUACCAUGACAUAUUGCGAUAUGUGAAAAGUCAUGAGUACCCUGACCAUGCGACGGAAAAUGAUAAGAAGACAUUAAGGAGGUUAGCCAUCGACUAUAUCCUAGAUGGGGAAAUUUUGUAUAAAAAGGGAAAAGAUCAAGUACUGUUGAGAUGUGUGGAUGCUGUCGAGGCAAAGGAAAUUUUGGAAGAAGUGCAUGAAGGUAUCUGCAGAACGCAUGCCAACGGCUUCACGAUGGCCAGACAAAUUAUGAGAUUUGGGUACUAUUGGUCUACCAUGGAGGGGGAUUGCAUUAAUUAUGCCAAAAGGUGCCAUAAAUGUCAAAUUUAUAGUGACAAAAUGCACGCACCACCUUCACCCCUUCAUGUUAUGGUUUCUCCAUGGCCUUUCUCCAUGUGCGGAAUGGACGUUAUCGGGCCAAUAUCUCCGAAAGCUUCUAAUGGGUAUCGUUUUAUCUUUGUGGUUAUUGAUUAAUUCACUAAAUGGGUGGAGGCUGCUUCGUAUGCAAAUGUCACGAAGUCGGCAGUUAGCAAGUUUCUGAAAAAAGAGAUCAUAUGUCGAUACGGGAUGCCUGAAAUGAUCAUAUCUGAUAAUGCGCUGAACUUAAACAACAACUUAAUAGCGGAAGUUUGUAGUCAGUUCAAGAUCAGACACCACAAUUCAUCACUGUACCGUCCAAAAAUGAAUGGUUCCGUGGAAGCAGCUAACAAAAACAUCAAGAAAAUUGUAGGAAAAAUGACUGAAACCUACAAAGACUGGCACGAGAAAUUACCUUUUGCUCUCCUGGUAUAUCGUACUUCUGUUAGGACCUCUACUGGGGCAACACUGUUUUCUUUAGUCUAUGGGAUGGAAGCAGUUUUACCCAUAGAAGUUGAAAUUCCUUCCCUCCGAGUAUUAGCUGAACUAAAGUUGGAUGAGGCUGAAUGGAUUCAACCUCGAUAUGACCAGCUAAACUUGAUAGAAGAAAAGAGGUUAAAAGCUAUUCGUCAUGGUCAGAUGUAUCAGAAACGAAUGAUGUGAGCCUAUAACAAAAAAGUUCGCCCCAGAGAAUUUUAUGAGGGGGACCUGGUUUUGAAAAAGAUUCUUCCUCUACAAAAGGAUUUUAGAGGAAAAUGGAUGCCAAAUUGGGAAGGUCCUUAUGUGGUAAAAAAGGCCUUUUCAGGAGGAGUUUUAAUCCUGAGCGAGAUGGAUGGUAAAAGCCUACCAAAUCCUGUAAAUUCAGACUCAGUCAAGAAAUAUUUCACUUAAAAAAAAGGGCAUUUAAAAAAAAGGGAGAGGCCAAGGUGAAAACCCGUAAAGGGCGCCUUGAGACCAAAGGGGAUUUGAGUUGAAAACCUGAAAAAGGCGGCUCAAAUUUUGAAGAAACAUGAGGUGAACGGAACAGCUCAAAUUUUGAUCAGGGUCUGAGGCAUGUGGUGGUCUUACUAUACCUGAAUCACAAGAAGAAAUAGGUGACAUCUUGGGGUAUCGACAGGAUACUAUAAAUUCUCUAAACACAUAUUAAAUGGUCUUUAGAAAACUUAUACAGGGAAGCUCGUGCAGCGAUAUCUGGGGCACCUGUUGUCAUCUUUUAUUUUGAAUCUUGGCAAAUUUGUUGUCUUGAUUAAUGUAUUCAUUUCAAGCUUUGCUCCCCAAUAAAAUUUCAUUUUGUCUAUUAUCUUAUUUCAUUUUUAUUUUAGCAAAAUUUGCUAUCUUGAUUAACCCAUUCGUUUCGAGAUUUGUUCUCAAUAACAUUUGUUUGUUCGUUGUGAUAAUCUUUUUCGAAAAAAAAUAUUUAGAAUAACUAUUAAUGAACUGAAUGUUCAAGCAAAUGGAGUUUUGCAUAUUACUCUAGAAAUUUCUAAAUAAUGAAGGAACCUGAAACAGGACUGUUGUUUAGAGCACACCAAAUUCAAAGUGCCUACAAGGGAAAAGUCUAAGUCAGGACUAUCCUUUCAAACUUUGUUGUCCAAACAAUGAUUGAACAAAAUGAGGAGAUGUCAUGCUGGUGACAAGGCUUCAAUGAUUACCGAAUGAUAAGAAGAGGUUCUUCGGAAAAGGAAAUUUUGCAAUUAUGCAUAAACUUUUGGUACGACGCCCUAGAAAUGGUGUAAGUAGCCAAGGAAAUUCAGAUCCUGUAACUCCUAAUUUACAGGAGGAGGAAGAUGGUUUUCAAUUUUAUGUCCCAAAUUACAAUGGGCUUAACCUUGAAAAUCACAAUGAGUUGAACUUUGAAGAAUACAGUGGGGGCAAUCCGACCAAGUAAGAGAUAAACAUUACCAACCGGACAAGAUAGCAUUCGGGCGCGUUGGCAAUAAGGACUUAUUGAGCAAGGAGCAAUAACAACUCAAUCAUUGAAAGAUCAUUUUGCAUUCAUGCAUAUGCAUUUAGCCAGGGUAUUUUGAUUCAUUUUUAUCAUAAUCACUAGGCAUAAAUAGGUUCAUAUAGGUCAUGUUCCCCAAAAAACAGAUCAAUGAAGAUGGCAGGUCUUGCUUUCCUGAGUUGACAGAAGCAGAUCGAAGUAACCAUAGAUUGCAAUUUAAAAGAUCGAAGCCACAACGGCGAAUCUUACUUCCAGGCGAUGCAGCGGAACAGAUUGAAGCUACAACGGCGAGUCUCACUUCCCCAUUGCAAUUUAAAAGAUCGAAGCCACAACGGCGAAUCUUAUUUCCAGGCGAUGCAGCGGAACAGAUUGAAGCUACAACGGCGAGUCUCACUUCCCCAUUGCAAUUUAAAAGAUCGAAGCCACAACGGCGAAUCUUACUUUCAGGCGAUGCAGCGGAACAGAUUGAAGUUACAACGGCGAGUCUCACUUCCCCAUUGCAAUUUAAAAGAUCGAAGCCACAACGGUGAAUCUUACUUCCAGGCGAUGCAGCGGAACAGAUUGAAGCUACAACGGUGAGUUUCACUUUCCCAUUGCAAUAGAUCGAAGCCACAACGGCGAAUCUUACUUCCAGGCGAUGCAGCGAAACAGAUUGAAGCUACAACGGCGAGUCUCACUUCCUCAUUGCAAUUUAAAAGAUCGAAGCCACAACGGUGAAUCUUACUUCCAGGCGAUGCAGCGGAACAGAUUGAAGCUACAACGGCGAGUCUCACUUCCCCAUUGCAAUUUAAAAGAUCGAAGCCACAACGUCGAAUCUUAUUUCCAGGCGAUGCAGCGGAACAGAUUGAAGCUACAACGGCGAGUCUCACUUCCCCAUUGCAAUUUAAAAGAUCGAAGCCACAACGGCGAAUCUUACUUUCAGACGAUGCAGCAGAACAGAUUGAAGCUACAACGGCGAGUCUCACUUCCCCACUGCAAUAGAUCGAAGCCACAACGGCGAAUCUUACUUCCAGGCGAUGCAGCAGAAUAUAUUGAAGCUACAACAGCGAGUCUCACUUCCCCGACAUUGCAAUUAAAAGAUUGAAGCCAUAACGACGAAUCUCAUUUCCUUGCGGUGUAGUGGAACAGAUUGAAGCUACGAUGGCGAAUCUCGCUUCCCCAAUAUUGCAGUCAAAUAGAUUGAAGCUACAACAGCGAAUCUCACAUCAUUGGCGAUACAGUGGAACAGAUUGAAGCUACAAUGGCGAACCUUGUUUUGCCAGCAUUGCAGCUAGAAGAUUGAAGCUGCAACGGCGAAUCUUAUUUCCUCAACGGGACCGGGUAAAAAUUGGUCUUUCUUAGUCUUUGCUCUGUUAUCGUUACAUGACAACAAGCAAAGAGGGGCAGCUGUACAAGCCCAAUUUUUAAAAACCCGGGCCCAAUUACAAUACAAAACCCGAAUAGCCCAACAACCCAAAUUUAGCCCCUAACAGACCUAACCCAACAAAACCAAGCCCAAAUUUACCCAUUUACACCCAAACCCGAAGCCCAAUAGCCAGGCCCAAUUUCCCUAAAAAAUAUCUAACUAGGGUUUCAUUUUCUGAAACCCUAGAUGCCGCCAGCUACCCACCCUGCCUCU
rnacentral:lncRNA from 1 species